UACGGAGGAUCCAAGCGUUGUCCGGAUUUAUUGGGUUUAAAGGGUGCGUAGGUGGAUAAUUAAGUCAGGGGGUGAAAAGCCUGCAGCUCAACUGUAGAACUGCCCUUGAAACUGAUUAUCUUGAAUAUGGUUGAGGUAGGCGGAAUGUGUCAUGUAGCGGUGAAAUGCUUAGAUAUGAUACAGAACACCAAUUGCGAAGGCAGCUUACUAAGCCAUUAUUGACACUGAGGCACGAAAGCAUGGGGAGCAAACAGG
rnacentral:rRNA from 1 species